rnacentral:rRNA from 1 species
CAGUCGCCACGGUAAAACGUAGGGUGCAAGCGUUAAUCGGAAUUACUGGGCGUAAAGCGUGCGCAGGCGGUUAUAUAAGACAGAUGUGAAAUCCCCGGGCUCAACCUGGGAACUGCAUUUGUGACUGUAUAGCUAGAGUACGGCAGAGGGGGAUGGAAUUCCGCGUGUAGCAGUGAAAUGCGUAGAUAUGCGGAGGAACACCGAUGGCGAAGGCAAUCCCCUGGGCCUGUACUGACGCUCAUGCACGAAAGCGUGGGGAGCAAACAGGAUUAGAUCCCCAGUAGUCCCUGUCUCUUAUACA